AGAGUUUGAUCAUGGCUCAGGAUGAACGCUAGCUACAGGCUUAACACAUGCAAGUCGAGGGGCAGCAUGUUGGUUGCUUGCAACCAAUGAUGGCGACCGGCGCACGGGUGAGUAACGCGUAUCCAACCUACCCUUGUCCAUCGGAUAACCCGUCGAAAGGCGGCCUAACACGAUAUGCGGUUCACAGCAGGCAUCUAAGGUGAACGAAAUGUGAAGGAGAAGGAUGGGGAUGCGUCUGAUUAGCUUGUUGGCGGGUAACGGCCACCAAGGCUACGAUCAGUAGGGUUCUGAGAGGAAGGUCCCCCANAUUGGAACUGAGACACGGUCCAACUCCUACGGGAGCA
rnacentral:rRNA from 1 species